GGUUCACAGCACUGAAGAAACAAGAGCGGUUCUAACACAGAAUGAGUUCGUAGACAGCGAUGAGAGAGAGGUUCUACGGGAGGGCCCCAAGCUCAGGCGAAGAACAAAUCCGACCUUGCCUUGCGAGGUGAAGGCGGUGGGUAUUCGGUGAUGCGUUGUUGUCGUGGGUGAUUGCAUUUGUUGUUGUUGUUGUUGUCGUCGUCGUUGCUGUUGUCUUCGUCGUCGACAUUUUUGUCGCCGCAGGAAAUGAAAGACAUAGCUAUGGGGACUCUCCUACGGCCCCCUGCUUUUUCUCUCUCCCUCGCUUCAGUCUCUGCCUCCCCAUCCGCCCACUCCCUGCCUCUUCCUCUCUUCAAGCCAGCUCCAUUGCUCUCGUCCUCGUCCUCGUUCGCAUUCCCUACCCGCAUCCCUCUCUGUCAUCCCUUUUCCUAUGAUCUCCUCCGUUGCUGCGCUCUCCCCGAUGACUCCACUCUGCCCACUCCCACUUCUGCUGCCCCAUCCGCUCCCCGCUCGGAUUCCGACACCCACCUUUGGGAUUCCUUCGUGCAAGCCCACUCCCAGGAAUUUCGAUUUCGCCACGAUGACGACGACAUCAUGCUUGCCGCGCCACCUCCGCUUCCCCCUCAGGCUCGCCAACCUCAAUUGCAGAAGUUUUUGUUCCACGCUCAGCCUCAUUGCAAGGUGGAGGUUGCCGUGAGCAAAGAGGGCGCCGACCAUUUCGUUAUAGACAUUGUCGUCAACACUGGCGAUAUGUUUCCCAAAUCGAAUGAGCCUCUCAAAUUGCAUUGGGGGCUCUUCCGAUCAGACUCAACGGAGUGGGUUCUACUGGAGCCAGAUGAAGCUCCCGGCGGUACGACUGUCAUCAUGGAUGGGGUGAUUGAAGCUAUGCAAACGCCAUUUGUGGUAGGCUCUCAGGGCAACCAGACACUGAGCUUGACUUUGGAUGCGGCAAUGGCUCCAUUUUUUGUGAAUUUUGUACUUCUUCAACCGCCAACCACAGAAGAAGAGGAAAAUUUGUGGAUCAGAGGAAAUCAGGGUUCCAAUUUCUGUAUUCCUGUCGGAAUGAGGAGGGGUCGGCCUGAUCCUCUUGGGGUGACGUGGGGGAAAGACGGAUCUGUUAAUUUUGCACUUUACUCCUUGCAUGCGGAGAAUGUUGUUCUGUGCCUGUACGAAGCAGACGCCAUUGAACCUAGUCUCGAAAUAGAUUUGUAUCCGUCUGUACAUCGGACUGGUUAUGUGUGGCAUAUUGAGCUUGAGAGCGUGGGAUCCUACAUACGGUAUGGCUAUCGCUGUAAGGGGCAAGUGGGGUGGGAAAGCGGUGGUCGUUUUCAUGCUCGAAAUGUUCUUCUCGAUCCAUAUGCGAAGUUCAUUGCUCCCCACGUUCCAGGGCAAGAAGAGCUUCCAUCGCCUGCUCCCGUGCUUGGUUGGCUUCUCAAAGGUGGUGUACCAUUCGAUUGGGAGGGUGACGCACCUCCUCGAAUUCCUUUGGAGACUUUGGUGGCAUAUCGACUGCAUGUGGGAACCUUUACAGGUGAAGCAGAAAAUGUUGAUGAAACCUCCCGUGGUACUUUUCUGGGAGUACUAGAGAAGAUUCCUUACUUGCGAAGCCUGGGAGUCAACGCUGUAAUUUUGCAACCGAUUUUUGCAUGGGAUGAAUCCAAGGGAUGCUACUAUCCAAUUAGCUUCUUUUCAGUGAUGAGUUGCUAUGGCUCUUCCGGCGACAGUCGAUCGGCAAGCUUUGCUCUGAAGAAAUUGGUGAAAGAACUUCACCGAAAUGGCAUAGAGGUGAUACUGGAUGUAGUGUACAGUCACACAGCAGAGAAUGGGGAUGAUGGGCCUAAACCAACAUCGUUCCGUGGCAUUGACAACGCGACCUACUACAUUUGCGAUAAAUUUGGCGUAGUUGCCAAAUCUGAUUAUGGGACAGAAAAUUCCUUUAAUUGCAACCAUCCAACCGUUCAAAAGCUUAUCAUGGACAGUCUCCAGUAUAUUGUGGAUGAAUUUCACAUAGAUGGCUUCUGCUUCAAAAACGCUGCAUGCCUCAUUACAGGACCUCAUGGUCAAGGCCUCAGCAGACCUAUGUUGGUAGAGUCUAUUUCAUUUGACUCUGUGCUUGCCAACGUGAAGCUCAUCGCUGAUCUGUGUUCACCAAUUAAUGGGGUUUGGAAGGAUGUGACAUUUCCACACUGGAAAAGGUGGUGUGAGUGGAACACGCAAUACAAGAUUGAUGUGCGUCGUUUUCUGCGGGGAGAGCCUGAUCAGCUGAGUAGUUUUGCGACGCGUCUUUGUGGCAGUGGUGAUUUAUUUGCAGAUGGUCGAGGGACCCAGUAUUCACUUAACCACAUAACAUCCCCAUAUGGCUUCACACUCACUGAUUUGGUGAGCUACAGCGAUGAGGAGGGGGAUAUCAGCGAGUAUAGUUGGAAUUGUGGGCAUGAAGGCCCUACAGAUGAUCCCUUGGUUAUCGAAAUACGAGUGAAACAGAUCAUAUGUGUUGUGACCAGGUUCGCAACUUCCUCACAACGCUGUUUUUGUCUCAAGGAGUUCCUGUUCUCAAUAUGGGUGAUGAGUAUGGAAACACCAAGGAAGGUGUCUUGGAUGUUGACAACAGUACAUGUUUUCAAUGGGAGGCAAUGGACUCGGAAUUUGGGAAGCAAAUUACACAUUUGAUUAGAUCUCUGUUGGCAUUGCGCAUACGCCGAAGCGAUUUGCUACAGGUGAGGGGAUUUCUAGACUUGAAAAGACUCACAUGGCAUGGCUUAAAGCCAGAGCAACCUCUUUGGGAGUGUACAGAGAGCAAUAUUCUAGCGGUCAGUCUGCAGUCAGAUAUAAUGCAACCAAACGCCAACAAAUCUCUUGGCGACCUGUACAUUGCGUACAAUCCUCACCCAGUGUCCAUGAUGGUGACGGUUCCAGAUGCACCAGCAGACAUGAUUUGGCUUCGGAUUGCAGACACGAGCCUUCCCUUUCCCGACAACUUCCUCGUCGAAGGCCAGCCCCUCCAGAUCGAAGUGGAUGCCUCCAGUUAUGUUUACGACCUGCAUCCUUACAGUUCGGUGAUCCUGGAGGCUCGUGCUGGUGCGGGGCCUCAGUGAAAUUUUCAUCACAUGCAUUCUCUCUUGGAGCAGCAGCAGGGUGAUUCUACUGAGAUUCUGCAGCUCUUGAUACUGGGUAGUGAAGGCUUUAUCACCUAAAUGUAGGAGUAAUCAUGGUUGACAGUGAUGGACAUGAGACUUGCGGGUGAUGCAGUGAAGAUAGCGACUUAGGCACUAGAGAGGGACCGGAACUGGUUUGCACGAAAGUCUAUCGGGAGGUGUAUUGUAUGUCAAUGCUAUCUAAACCUGACAAAUAUAUCGUCGGAGAUGUCCAUGAUA